rnacentral:lncRNA from 1 species
AUGUAUGUUCUGUUAGAUAAGGGUUUGAACAGUAUUAAUUCCCUGUUGCUGUUGUCAGACUCCUUUGUUCACUUAAUGGUUACACAUAUUUUAUGCUGUCAGUUGGAGCACUUCAGCCAGCAGCUCGUAAGCCAAAUUUGGGCCGUGCUGCAUCACUCUGGCUCUUCAAAAGCACUGGUGUGGAGUGGCCUGCCCUUGACUACUGCAAGAUGUAUCAAAGCUGGGAAAACUGGUUUCUGGAAAAGCUUUGCGUUGUGUGUGAGAGCUAUGGAGGAAAGACAUCAUUAUGGAGGAAUCCUAAUUGUAAAUUGAACCACAUAAUUUUCUCCAUCCCCAAAUUAGCAGUGUAAGUGUGACUUGAAGGUCAUUAGCAUGGGACCCUGAGAAACUACCAGUGAAGAGGAGAUUCAAACUCUCUCUCAACCAUUCCUGCUGUUUGAUGAAGAAGGCAUACCUGAUUGAUUGAGAUUCAUUAUGAACUUGCUGGAUUUCUCCACUCACAGAAUCAGGUGCAACUUGAAUCCCCCAUGAGCAAGGGCUUCCCAGUCAACCUUCAAAGACUUGUCAGAACUACAGCAGGAAAAGGUUAGCCAAAAGAUGACUGAUCAUCCACAGAUCAUAUGAAUCAGAGAAAGUCCUCAUCUUGGGAAAAGCACCGGGCUGUAAGUUCACAAUUACCCCUAUUUAAACUAGAAGCAGGAAGCUAUAUUCUGUAAUGAUUCAACCUGCCAGGGGAGCUUCCAGAAUAUCUGGACAUACCUGAUGCAAUACUCAAGGCUAAAGAGAGCAAAGGUGUGGGUGAACCUUCUAGAUAUAGCCCUAGAUGUCGAAAACUGUUAAGUCCAAAUGAUUUGGGGGCACAUACAUUUAUUACAUAUGCAAUGUGUUAGAGUGGUGUGGGUGCAGCAUAUUUAAUGUCCACAGUAAUGUAUGUCAUUAGGCAAUCUGAAUGUGAAGACACGCAGUGUAACUCCUCCCCACUGCAGCUCCACUCCCAAUUUCACUUACAUGACAUUUCAUUUUCCCCUUUCCAGUGCUUGUCAGACCCCUUUGUGAGGCUGGUGUAGGGUGGGAGAGGCAGGGCUGGGCACAAGCAGCGCAAGAGGCAGAAUUGGCCCUUCUAGCAGCAAUGAAUUGUCACAUUGGCUCAAUUGUUCUGUAUAACUUUGCCCUGAAAGUGAGCUCAGGAGGAUGGAACCAGUGAAAGCCUCUCUCUGAUAAAAGUAGUCCCACAGAGCACUUUGCUUCUGGGCCAGGGUAAAAAUAGCCUUUUGCCAUAGUUUGUUUGCAGUGCAAUAUUUCAUCUAUUUUAACUUACAAUCAGCGCUGACAGCUCUUAAGAUUGUAUCUCAGAUAGCAGGAUGUUUGGACCUCUUUUAAUAAAAGACUCUAUAGCUCAAGAGACUGAAGACA